rnacentral:rRNA from 1 species
CCUACGGGAGGCAGCAGUAGGGAAUCUUCCACAAUGGGCGAAAGCCUGAUGGAGCAACGCCGCGUGGGUGAAGAAGGUCUUCGGAUCGUAAAACCCUGUUGUUAGAGAAGAAAGUGCGUGAGAGUAACUGUUCACGUUUCGACGGUAUCUAACCAGAAAGCCACGGCUAACUACGUGCCAGCAGCCGCGGGAAUACGUAGGUGGCAAGCGUUAUCCGGAUUUAUUGGGCGUAAGGGGAACGCAGGCGGUCUUUUAAGUCUGAUGUGAAAGCUUUCGGCUUAACCGGAGUAGUGCAUUGGAAACUGGGAGACUUGAGUGCAGAAGAGGAGAGUGGAACUCCAUGUGUAGCGGUGAAAUGCGUAGAUAUAUGGAAGAACACCAGUGGCGAAAGCGGCUCUCUGGUCUGUAACUGACGCUGAGGUUCGAAAGCGUGGGUAGCAAACAGGAUUAGAUACCCUGGUAGUC